GUGGUAGCCAUGGCCAGAGUGCCUCACCCAGCCAGGGCAGGACAAAGGGAUAGCACAGUGGAGGUGGCUUUAAAUCAGGACCUGAAGAAGAGGUGGAGAUGCCAGGCUGCCAGAGAUUAAGGGAAAUGCCACUGUUUUCCUCAGCAUGUAAGAAGCAAAGCUGAUCAGCCUGAUUCCCGUAGAUGCUGUGGAUUCCCUGGAAGCACACAGGAGGUGAGCUGCUCCCAGUGCACAAGAGGAGGCUUCCAGACCGCCAUACCACCCCCGUCAUUACACAAGAGGUGAGCCACUCCCAGCGCACAAGAGGAGGCUUCCUGGCCACCAUACCACCCCCGCCAGCACACAGGAGGUGAACCGGGAGGGCGCCAACAGCAAUCGCCCUACCCAGUCGAAAUGAGAACACACAUAAAUAAGUCUCAAAAUCAGACUUUCAGAUCAACUACAGCAACCCCAAAGGGAAAUGAGAUGGAACACUCUGAUACUCAACCACCUGGAUUCCCUGAACUGGCAACAAAAGAGGAUCUGGAAAAAAAUGAUAUCAGAAAUAAUUUCGCAGGUAACAGCAGAGAUUGUGCUCAUAGUGAAAGACAAUAAAUCUAAAGAGGAACUCAGGAACAUGAUGGAAUCCCAACAUAGGAAACAAAUGGAAUUAAUAAAACAGAUGCAAACAGAUUGCCAGGAGAUUAAAAACUCCACUGAGAGUCUACAC
ensembl:lncRNA